UAAAGUCUAGUAGCUAUUUAAAAUUUCUUAUUUAUCCUAUAAAUAAUAUUUUCGUUUAUAGAUUAGGCCAAUCAAAUAAACACAUUAUUAUUUGUCCAGAAACAAUACUUUUGAUGGCAUUUGAUUGAAUUAUUGGAAUAACAUAAGAGAGAUACAAUAUAUAUAUAUAUAUAUAUGAAUGAGAAAUUGCACCGUACACACAAGACAUAUACGCUAAUUAGGUAGAUGCACUAUUUACAUUAUCGAGGAUGUCAGGAGGUGUUAGUUUUACAUUUCUAACCUUGCUCACUUCAUAUUCACAUCAACCGGUUACCUACUGUUCUUGUAAUAUAAUUUACUUCUUUAAUUAUUUAUUUUUUAUUACCCAAUCCAACACGUUACCUUUUUUGUGUCAGGCACGUAGAUUUUUUUCGGUUAUCGAAACUCGGUUAUUGGCUUCGUAGUUGUGCAUAUCAAAAGUCUCUCACUUCAUCCCCUUUUAUAUUAAGUUCUGUUGAUCCAUUGUUCUACUUCAAUUCAACCAUUUUAAAUUAGAUCCCAAUUUUAUACUUCAAUUCAAAAAUAAAUUCAGAUGGAUGGAAGCGAUGAACCUCCCUCUCCGCCCCCGUUUCCUCCUAGAAUGUUUGCGCUAGGCGAUGAACCUGUCGGCGUUACUCCUUACCACAAACCUACAUGCAUUCGGAAAAUUCUCAACGCCCUCGAACCAGAUGAAGCUCAGACUAUCAGGGAGACCCAGUUCGGAAAGCUUGUCGAAAUUGCAGACAAACCCUCGUUUUCUGGCCGGUUUGGUCCGUUCCUGUUAUCCCGACAAUUGAAGGUGGCGAAGAAGCACGAAGUUCGGUUUCUAUUUGCUGGCAAACCGGUUAGAUUCUCACAAUUGAAGGUGACGGACCGACAAUACAGGUGGAGAAGACAUGAUUCCAGUUACCGACAAUCGUGAGGCUGAAGAAAUCCGUGAGGGUGAUGGGACCGACAAUACAGGUGGAGAAGACAUGGAAAGACAUCCUCGUUAGUUUCAGAAUCGUCCAAAUUUAUAUUUGGAUUUUGAAAUACUAAUAUUAGCAACAAUACACUCCACACUACCUACAUUGCUACGACUGUACUUAGCUUCUAUUCAGAAAGAUUGCAGACACCAUGUUUUGUUUGGACAGUCAAUGAUGUUUGUGUCCCUUUUUGUACUGAUUUAUCUAUAUAUAAUAACGAAUCCUUGUUCUCCCUUAUCAACUUCCUUUUUGUAGCGAUGACACUCCAUAGCUAACUUUAAAUAUACUCAUCCAGUAUUAUUCUUAGCCGGCUACAAACGAUUCAAAGACGUUAACUUAAAUAAUUGGCCACAAUGACAAUGGAGCAAACUAAUAUUUUAGUUAACUAGACAGCUUCUGUAACUAGUAUUAAUAAAAUAUCACGAAACAAGAUUCUGUAACUACAAAGUCUACAAUCAAUACACAGAAACGGAGGAGUGGUAUUGGUUUUGUUAACUAGACAGCUUUUUAUGGUGAGAGUUUGCUUGUUGGCUUCCUUUUAUAGACAAACCCCGUUAGCAGUUGAGAGUUGACGCUACACCUGCAUAAAAAAGUGUUACACGGUCACUAAACGGUAUAGCUUACAAUACUUUAUUUAACGCGCUAACAUAUCUAACAAAUCUUCGACACCAAUAUUUGCUAACUAAUUUAAUAUUUUAACACAGGACCAGUGCAAAGUUUCCUUUAGUUUGUUAAUAACUUUUUUAGCAUAUGCAAUAAUCUUCCGAUAUACAUGCUAAAAAUUCUAGAAUAUCUAUUUAACAUUCUUUUUAGCGGUUAUUACUUUUUAAAGCUGGUUACCUUAGAUUUUUGUUUGCUAACCUAAACCCAAAAACAUGCUAACUUUUUGCUAAAUUUGCUUGAUUUACCCAAAGGUAAGCCGUUGCCGGACGGUCUAAUCGGUAUUCCACCGAAAACAUACCGGAGACAGGAAAACGCGACAGAGAGAAUUUGGCUUCCACAAUAGCUUGAUUCAGCACAGACGAAAUCAAAAACAACGCUUCAGAACAUCAAACCCAGAACCAAUCGAAUCAAACAAAUAAAAGCAAACGAAAGUCUCAAAUCCUUGCAUGCAAAUCAAAAGCUUGAAGAUGAUUGAACCCUAACAGAGAGGGCAGGAUGAAACAAAUCGAUCUAAGAUUUUGAUCCGAUUGAAACCUUUCUAAAAGAGAAGCGAGGUUGAUUCAGAGAAACUAAAAAAAAAACAAAUAAAAAAAAAACAAAA